CCUACGGGGCGCAGCAGUGGGGAAUAUUGCACAAUGGGGGAGACCCUGAUGCAGCGACGCCGCGUGAAGGAAGAAGGCUUUCGGGUUGUAAACUUCUUUUGUCAGGGACGAAGCAAGUGACGGUACCUGACGAAUAAGCCACGGCUAACUACGUGCCAGCAGCCGCGGUAAUACGUAGGUGGCAAGCGUUAUCCGGAUUUAUUGGGUGUAAAGGGCGUGUAGGCGGGAAUGCAAGUCAGAUGUGAAAACUAUGGGCUCAACCCAUAGCCUGCAUUUGAAACUGUAUUUCUUGAGUGCUGGAGAGG
rnacentral:rRNA from 1 species